rnacentral:rRNA from 1 species
GACGAACGCUGGCGGUGUGCUUAACACAUGCAAGUCGAACGGUAAGGCCCUUUCGGGGGUACACGAGUGGCGAACGGGUGAGUAACACGUGAGUAACCUGCCCUCAUCUCUGGGAUAACAGUCGGAAACGGUUGCUAAUACUGGAUAUGAGCUUGCAAGGCAUCUUGUGGGUUGGAAAGAUUUUUUUGGCUGGGGAUGGACUCGCGGCCUAUCAGCUUGUUGGUGAGGUAGUGGCUCACCAAGGCUUCGACGGGUAGCCGGCCUGAGAGGGCGACCGGCCACAUUGGGACUGAAAUACGGCCCAAACUCCUACGGGAGGCAGCAGUGAGGAAUAUUGCACAAUGGACGGAAGUCUGAUGCAGCAACGCCGCGUGCGGGAUGACGGCCUUCGGGUUGUAAACCGCUUUCAAUUGUGACGAAGCUUUUUGUGACGGUAGCAGUAGAAGAAGCACCGGCUAACUACGUG